rnacentral:rRNA from 1 species
UACGUAGGGUGCGAGCGUUGUCCGGAAUUAUUGGGCGUAAAGGGCUCGUAGGCGGUUUGUCGCGUCGGGAGUGAAAUCCACUGGCUUAACUGGUGGCUUGCUUUCGAUACGGGCAGACUGGAGGUAUGCAGGGGAGAACGGAAUUCCUGGUGUAGGCGGUAGAAAUGCGCAGAUAUCAGGAGGAACACCGGUGGCGAAGGCGGUUCUCUGGGCAUGUCCUGACGCUGAGGAGCGAAAGUGUGGGGAGCGAACAGG